CCUACGGGUGGCAGCAGUGAGGAAUAUUGGUCAAUGGGCACGAGCCUGAACCAGCCAAGUAGCGUGAAGGAUGACGGCCCUACGGGUUGUAAACUUCUUUUAUAAAAGAAUAAAGUGAGGCACGUGUGCCUUUUUGUAUGUAUUUUAUGAAUAAGGAUCGGCUAACUCCGUGCCAGCAGCCGCGGUAAUACGGAGGAUGCGAGCGUUAUCCGGAUUUAUUGGGUUUAAAGGGUGCGCAGGCGGAUUUUUAAGUCAGCGGUAAAAUCGUGGGGCUCAACCCCAUCCAGCCGUUGAAACUGGGGAUCUCGAGUGUGCGAGAGGUAUGCGGAAUUCGUGGUGUAGCGGUGAAAUGCAUAGAUAUCACGCAGAACCCCGAUUGCGAAGGCAGCAUACCGGUGCACAACUGACGCUCAGGCACGAAAGCGUGGGUAUCGAACAGGAUUAGAUACCCUAGUAGUC
rnacentral:rRNA from 1 species